rnacentral:tRNA from 1 species
GUAAAUAUAGUUUAACUAAAACACUAGAUUGUGAUUCUGGUAACAGGGGUUAAAAUCCCCUUAUUCACC